AGCGAACGCUGGCGGCAGGCCUAACACAUGCAAGUCGAACGAAGUCUUCGGACUUAGUGGCGGACGGGUGAGUAACACGUGGGAACGUACCUUUUGGUUCGGAACAACUCAGGGAAACUUGAGCUAAUACCGGAUGAGCCCUUAGGGGGAAAGAUUUAUCGCCGAAAGAGCGGCCCGCGUUAGAUUAGCUAGUUGGUGAGGUAAAGGCUCACCAAGGCUACGAUCGAUAGCUGGUCUGAGAGGAGGAUCAGCCACACUGGGACUGAAGCACGGGCGAGACUCCUACGGGAGGUAGCAGUGGGGAAUCUUGCGCAAUGGGCGAAAGCCUGACGCAGCCAUGCCGCGUGAAUGAUGAAGGUCUUAGGAUUGUAAAAUUCUUUUACCAGGGACGAUAAUGACGGUACCUGGAGAAAAAGCCCCGGCUAACUUCGUGCCAGCAGCCGCGGUAAGAC
rnacentral:rRNA from 1 species